GCCGCGAUAGCUCAGAUGGUAGAGCGCAUCCAUGGUAAGGAUGAGGUCACGGGUUCAAUUCCCGUUCGUGGCUCCA
rnacentral:tRNA from 1 species